AACUGACCCUGUAGCUGAAUCAUUUCUGGUUUCCAGCACUAUCUUACUAACUAAUGAAGCUGUGUGAAAACUAAUGAAGCUAAUGAAGUCCCUGAGCUUUUAAGGGUAUAUUUAAAUUAUGAUAUAUCCUAGCUAUGUUUUCACAUUUUAGUCUGUAACAAAGAAAAUAUCUUGGGUGUCAUUAAAGAAAAUGUUUCUCAUGCAUUAAUGUGAUUCCAUGCUAGGGAACUGGAGGAAAAAAAACAAAUGAAUAACAAUAAGGGUUGGUAAGUUGAUAUUGGUAGGAUAAAUAAAUAAAAGAAGAGGUCCUAUGACCUUUGGAGCAGGUAGGGUCCAGUGUGAGAUUUCAACUGUGUUUAUCACGUAUUUAGACAAUAUACUUUGCAUAGUUGCAAUUAUUUUUGACAUGAGCCUACAGUAAUGUAUAGAAGCUCUUCAAAAAUACUUAAAAUUAUAUUUUUUCACUUAGCAAUAUUUUUCAGACUGACAUUUUUGUUUUCUGCUGAUAUGUCCUUCAACUUCUAUUUAUCACCUUAUCAUUUGGGUUUUUUACUUUAGUGUUUGUUGAUCUAGGGAAACAAGUCUUUGUAGAAAAUUGAAAUUUGAAUAUAUAAAGUUCUAAACUGGAUCAAGACCAAAAUACUUCAAAAUCCCUUGUGAUGACAAAAGAGAUCCCACACCAACAAAACCAGUAGAUCAACAUGAGCUAUGUGUUUCAAUUGCAUUUGGGCAAUAUUGUUUAGUUUGAAAAAAGAUCUAGAACUAAGUGGGGUUUAGGAUUUCUAGGUUGGUUAGUUUGGUUUGGUUUUGGUUCACCAAACACCAAAAUAUUAACAGUGUCUGCAGCACCCUUCAUUUAUUUGGUUUGGUUUGCCCAGAUGUUCUUAGUCUUUGUUCAAUUAAAUCUCGAGAUGUGAAAAAUGUCCCAAGAUUAGCACUUAUUGCCAUUAUCUGUAAUUUCUGUUCAAUAAAGAAAUGCUUUCUUCCUUUGUUUCAGCUAAUGAUUCAUGAUAUCAAAUUAAGUGCAACUUAGAGGAUUAAGAUGCUAUUGAAAAUCAGAAAAAGAUUAGAUAACCAUGGUGAAAAUACUCAGCAAACUUAGAAUCGUCAUGUAUUCCUGCAAUCUUAAUGGACAAUUUCUAAAUUAAUCUAUUCAUGCAGAGUAAGCAGAGGUCUUUGCUCUAAAGCACCUGCUUUAUUCAUCAGAAGUUUGGGUUUUUUCCUUCACUUUUUUUCCUGUCUGACUCCAAAGGAAAUGACAAACCAGAAACAGCUGAGUGGUCAAGUGUAUCUGAAAUAAAGCAAGCCGAUGUAUACAGCAUGGUUCCAUGGAGCAUUUCAUCCUGAGGGGAAAUGCAAGUGAGCAACGGAUAAGCUUCUUGGGCCUGGAGCCUUUCUUCUCCUCCUUCCUUGCUUAAAAAAAAGAAUCAUGUCUUGCAAGAAAUCAAAGGUAGAUACAACUUAAGAAAAUAUUAUGCUGAUAACAGGCGUAUUCAUUACCUUUUGGAGUAGAUAGGUUUUGCAGUCCAUUGCUGUUUUCUUGCUGAUCUCUGUUUUUUUGAGUAUGUGAUUCUACCAUCUAGCAGAACUUGUAACUAUCACCAAGAGUAGUAAGCGCUGGUUCCCAAAUCCAUUCAUGUCAGUAGGAAUCUUUGUGCUGAUUAUAGUAGACCAUGAGUCAGAAGCAACUUGGAUGCGUUGACUUUUAACAUUAUGCAAUGGCCUUUCUCAUAAACCACUUCAAAAGGAAAUAUAGAAAGCUGAAGCCUGAAGAGUCAAAGAAUGAGAAACAAAGCAAGUCUCUGGUAUUACCUUGUUAACUGACGAGAUGGCACUUCAAGAAUACUUCCUUGUAGAUUCACAGUGAAAAGAAAGUGAAGAUACUGGACUCAAAGUUGUAGCACUCCAAGAUAAUGUGGACUAUGAUUCAUAUGUAUUGUUAUGAAAGUGAGAAUAAAAUAAAGGAACUGAAUGUUCUCAUUUCAAUUCCCUUGUUAGAUG